CCUACGGGUGGCUGCAGUGAGGAAUAUUGGUCAAUGGGCUUACGCCUGAAGCAGCCAAGCCGCGUGAGGGAAGACUGCCCUAUGGGCUGUAACCUUUUUUUGUCAGGGAGCAACGCCGCCUACGUGUAGCCGGACGGAGAGUACCUGAAGAAAAAGCAUCGCCAAACUCGGUACAAGCAGCCGCGGUAAGAGGGAGGAUGCGAGCGUUAGCCGGAUUGAUGGGGUUAAAGGGGAGCGAAGGUGGAGUGCAAGGUCAGUGGGAAAUACCCGGGGGCCAACCGGGCUCUGCCGUUGAAACUGGCGUUCUGGAGUGUGCGAGAGGGAUGAGGAAUGCGUGGUGGAGCGGUGAAAUGCGUAGAUAUCACGAAGAACACCGAUUGCGAAGGCAGCAUACCGGCACCCAACUGACGCUGAAGCACGAAAGCGUGGGUAUCGAACAGGAUUAGAUACCCGGGUAGUC
rnacentral:rRNA from 1 species